rnacentral:rRNA from 1 species
GAUGAACGCUAGCGACAGGCCUAACACAUGCAAGUCGAGGGGCAUCGGGACGUAGCAAUACGUUGCCGGCGACCGGCGGAUGGGUGAGUAACGCGUAUGCAACCUACCCGUAGCAGGGGGAUAGCCCGUUGAAAGACGGAUUAAUACCCCGUAACACAGGGGCUCCGCAUGGAGAUUAUUGUUAAAGGGUCAUUUCUUUUAGAGGUGGUCCGGCUGCGGAUGGGCAUGCGUUCCAUUAGGUAGUUGGUGUAGGUAACGGCUCACCAAGCCGACGAUGGAUAGGGGAACUGAGAGGUUGGUCCCCCACACUGGUACUGAGACACGGACCAGACUCCUACGGGAGGCAGCAGUGAGGAAUCUUGGUCAAUGGACGCAAGUCUGAACCAGCCAUGUCGCGUGAAGGAGGACGGCCCUAAGGGUUGUAAACUUCUUUUGCAGUGGAAUAAAGUUUGCCACGUGUUGGCGAUUUGCAAGUACGCUGCGAAUAAGGAUCGGCUAACUCCGUGCCAGCAGCCGCGGUAAUACGGAGGAUCCGGGCGUUAUCCGGAUUUAUUGGGUUUAAAGGGUGCGCAGGCGGGGAAUUAGGUCGGCGGUGAAAUUUCGGGGCUCAACCUCGACAGUGCCGUUGAAACCGUUUCUCUUGAGUGCGGAUGAAGUAGGCGGAAUUUGUGGUGUAGCGGUGAAAUGCGUAGAUAUCACAAGGAACACCGAUUGCGGAGGCAGCUUACUAAACCGUUACUGACGCUCAUGCACGAAGGCGUGGGGAUCAAACAGG